UUGCAACUUCUCUCUCCAGGGCACAGUGCAGUUUCAGGAAACCACCACCAGUGAAGUUUUCAGUGACUCUAAGCAGUGCCAUCUGUGUUUGUUAUCUUUCAAAAUACUUCUUUUUCCUCUGCCCUUCGGGAGAUUAUCACAGCCUGCAGUUCAGUCUCCGAGAGCUUUGUUGAUUUAUCUUCCUCCUCAAGCAAAAUAAGCAGUGAUUCCUGCAUUUCUGAAGAAGACCUCAGGAUCCGGACUCGUGGAGAUUUUCAGCAAGGCUCAGCCACACCUGGAGAGAUGAGUGAGUACAAGAGGAUUAUUCUGCUGAAAGGAUUACAGCCCAUAGAUGACUACAGGUUUAGCAUGGUUAAGUCCCUACUGGCCCAUGAUUUGCAACUGACUACAAAAAUGCAAGAAGAAUAUAACAAGGUCAGGAUUGCUGACCUGAUGGAAAAGAAGUUCCGGGGGCCUCUCUGUGUGGACAAGCUAAUAGAUCUGUUCAAGGACAUGGAAGGACUUGGAGACAUUGUUAAGAUUCUUAAAAAUGAGAAGAAAAAAGUUAUGAGGAAAUGCAGAGUAAAAGGAAAAAUGCCCGUGAAGAAAAGAAAGCAGGAUGCAUCCAGUACUGACGAAUCCACAUCUACUAGGAACGAAACUUUGGUAUCAGUCCAUGACACACCCAUGUCCAAGAAAAAGAAAAUCAAAACCAAACAAAAUGAUGAAUCCAAGAGGACGCAGCCAACCCAGGGACAAAGUCAGCUUCCAGGACCAUCUGUAACCAGUACACAGUCAACUUGGAGCUACCCUCAGACUCCUCAAAUGACUCCACCAACCCCAGCCAGCAGUUCUUCAACCAAGAAAAUAAAAAUGGAAAUCACACAAAAUGAUGAAUCUAAGAGGAUGCAACCGACCCAGGGACAGAGUCAGCUUCCAGGACCUUCUGUAACCAGUACACAGUCAACUUGGAGCUACCCUCAGACUCCUCAGAUGUCUCCACCAACCCCAGCCAGCAGUUCCUCAACCAAGAAACCAAGAUUGAAGACUGUACCUAGAGAAGCUUCCAUAGAAGAGGGUUUCCAGAAGGGCCCCAAGGAAGUGAUGGUGCUGAAAGCAACAGAACCAUUUACAUAUGAUCUCAUGGAAGCAGAGAGAAAGAUGUUCCAUGCCACUGUGGCUACUGAAAGCCAAUUCUUCCAAGUGAAGGUUUUUCAUGUCAGCCUGAAGGAGAAGUUCAUCCCAAAGAAAGUCAUCACCAUAUCAGAUUACUAUGGUCGCAAUGGGUUCCUGGAGGUGUAUGAUGCCACGUGUGUGUCUGAUGUCAAUGCUGACCGAAAGAUGGAAAUCUCAAGCAGACUGAUCCAAAAUGCAAAUGCAACUCCUAAAAUCAAUAAUCUUUACUCACAGGAGCCAGGAACAUUUGUGAGUGGGAUAUAUCAGGUGCAUAAGAAAAAAGUGUUGAAUGAACACAUCAUUUUGUAUGAAAUACAAGAUAAUACAGGGAAGAUGGAGGUCUUGGUGUAUGGACGACUGACCAAAGUCAACUGUGAGGAAGGUGAUAAACUCAAACUCAUCUGCUUCGAACUAAGUGCGGAUCCGAGACAGCUGAGAUCUGUAAUUCACAGUUUCAUCAAGGUCAUCAAGUCUAGGAAAAACAAGAAACAACCACUCAAUCCUGAUUCACAUACGGAAACCUCACUAUAAUACCCUUCUAAAAACCUGGAUGCCAUUAACAAUGAUGUCUGUGGAGGAAGACUCCAAUAGAAAAAAAAUCUUGAAUAAAAAAGUACAAUUUCCAGUAACAAAUAAACUACGACUUACCUAAGAGCAGCUCACAAAAGAUCCCCUGGCGACAACUGGAAAAACUACCUCCACGUGUAGCGUUCGUAAGUGAAAACUCAAACUAUUAUCAGAACUAUUUUCUCAAAUUAACAAAUCCGACUGAAAUGCUUGGAGUGAUAAAGUCACCCGAGUGCCCCUAUCCUGUGGAUGAAAGGAGGAAGGGGAGCUGACUUUGGCUGAGUCUCUACAAUACAUAAACAGUCAGGUUAGCAUGUUUCCGACUUGUAAGAAUUCCACCUUAUAUAAGCCUUGUACAUAAUAACAAUCGUGUUUUGAUACAUUUUAUACACUGUGUAAGAAAAUAAAGGCUUGGCUGUUUCUCUGAA